UACGUAGGGCGCAAGCGUUGUCCGGAAUUAUUGGGCGUAAAGAGCUCGUAGGUGGCGUGUCGCGUCUGCCGUGAAAGCCCCUGGCUUAACUGUGGGUCUGCGGUGGAUACGGGCAGGCUGGAGGCUGGUAGGGGCAAGCGGAAUUCCUGGUGUAGCGGUGAAAUGCGCAGAUAUCAGGAGGAACACCGGUGGCGAAGGCGGCUCUCUGGGACGGUACUGACGCUGAGACGCGAAAGCGUGGGGAGCGAACAGG
rnacentral:rRNA from 1 species